AUUGAUUUUAUGCUUGCAUAAAUGAUUUUUGGAUUCGGAGCGAGUGGCGAACUGGUGAGUAACACGUGGGUAACCUGCCCCGAAGCGGGGGAUAACAUUUGGAAACAAGUGCUAAUACCGCAUAAUUAGUUGGAACCGCAUGGUUCCAACUUGAAAGAUGGCUCUGCUAUCACUUUGGGAUGGACCCGCGCCGUAUUAGUUAGUUGGUGAGAUAAAAGCCCACCAAGACGAUGAUACGUAGCCGACCUGAGAGGGUAAUCGGCCACAUUGGGACUGAGACACGGCCCAGACUCCUACGGGAGGCAGCAGUAGGGAAUCUUCCACAAUGGACGAAAGUCUGAUGGAGCAACGCCGCGUGAGUGAUGAAGGUUUUCGGAUCGUAAAACUCUGUUGUUAAAGAAGAACAAGUGUUAGAGUAACUGUUAACACUUUGACGGUAUUUAACCAGAAAGCCACGGCUAACUACGUGCCAGCAGCCGCGGUAAUACGUAGGUGGCAAGCGUUGUCCGGAUUUAUUGGGCGUAAAGCGAGCGCAGGCGGUUUUGUAAGUCUGCUGUGAAAGCCCUCAGCUCAACUGAGGAAGUGCAGCGGAAACUACAAAACUUGAGUACAGAAGAGGAAAGUGGAACUCCAUGUGUAGCGGUGAAAUGCGUAGAUAUAUGGAAGAACACCAGUGGCGAAGGCGGCUUUCUGGUCUGUUACUGACGCUGAGGCUCGAAAGCAUGGGUAGCGAACAGGAUUAGAUACCCUGGUAGUCCAUGCCGUAAACGAUGAAUACUAGGUGUUGGAGGGUUUCCGCCCUUCAGUGCCGCAGCUAACGCAUUAAGUAUUCCGCCUGGGGAGUACGACCGCAAGGUUGAAACUCAAAGGAAUUGACGGGGGCCCGCACAAGUGGUGGAGCAUGUGGUUUAAUUCGAUGCUACGCGAAGAACCUUACCAGCUCUUGACAUCUUCUGCCAACCCAAGAGAUUGGGCGUUCCCUUCGGGGACAGAAUGACAGGUGGUGCAUGGUUGUCGUCAGCUCGUGUCGUGAGAUGUUGGGUUAAGUCCCGCAACGAGCGCAACCCUUAUUAUUAGUUGCCAGCAUUUAGUUGGGCACUCUAGUGAGACUGCCGGUGAUAAA
rnacentral:rRNA from 1 species